GAUGAACGCUAGCUACAGGCUUAACACAUGCAAGUCGCGGGGCAGCAUGGGGGUUGCUUGCAAUCCCCGAUGGCGACCGGCGCACGGGUGAGUAACGCGUAUCCAACCUGCCCUUCACCACGGGAUAACCCGGCGAAAGUCGGACUAAUACCGUAUGUUGUCCAUUGACGGCAUCCGAUUUGGACGAAAGGCUUGGCGGUGAGGGAGGGGGAUGCGUCCGAUUAGCCAGACGGCGGGGUAACGGCCCACCGUGGCUCCGAUCGGUAGGGGUUCUGAGAGGAAGGUCCCCCACACUGGAACUGAGACGCGGUCCAGACUGCUACGGGAGGCAGCAGUGAGGAAUAUUGAUCAAUGGGCGUAAGCCAGAACCAGCCAAGUAGCGUGCAGGAUGACGGCCCUAUGGGUUGUAAACUGCUUUUAUGCGGGGAUAAAGUGGCCCACGUGUGGGCUUUUGCAGGUACCGCAUGAAUAAGGACCGGCUAAUUCCGUG
rnacentral:rRNA from 1 species